AGGCGGAAGAGAGGGGAGGAGGUGGAAGAAGCAGGGCCAGAAAUCUGUGGCUGAAGUGUGGGAAACACCUGGGGCAUCGUCCCGACCCGGGAGUGCAUCCACAUGUACUACCAGAACCACAUCAUGAACCUUUCCAGGGACUCAGGACUGGACACCAUCGAUGGCCAUGCUGGCACCGCUGCAGGCGCACAGACUGCCCCCAGGACGGACAGCUUGGAUUCCCAUGACAGCAUCUCCAGAUCAAACUCCAUUCAGUGACUGCUCGACAUCAUGGCGCCAACCCCAGGAAAGCACGAAGACUUGAUGAGGAGCUGAAAACACCAGCUGAGCAUCC